rnacentral:rRNA from 1 species
UACGGAGGGGGCUAGCGUUGUUCGGAAUUACUGGGCGUAAAGCGCACGUAGGCGGAAUGUUAAGUCAGGGGUGAAAUCCCGGGGCUCAACCCCGGAACUGCCUUUGAUACUGGCAUUCUCGAGUCCGGAAGAGGUGAGUGGAAUUCCGAGUGUAGAGGUGAAAUUCGUAGAUAUUCGGAGGAACACCAGUGGCGAAGGCGGCUCACUGGUCCGGUACUGACGCUGAGGAGCGAAAGUGUGGGGAGCGAACAGG